rnacentral:rRNA from 1 species
GCUCCAAUAGCGUAUAUUCUGUUGCUGCAGUUGAAAAGCUCGUAGUCGAAAUUUUGGGUGUUGGGCGGUGGUCGGCCGCAUGGCCAGUACUGCCGCGCAGGCCUUUCCUGUUGGGGGAUGACGUGUGCGUGUUUCCGAACGCGCACAUGUUGGACGCCAACUCGUUUACCUUGAAAAAAUUAGAGUGUUCAAAGCAGGCU